rnacentral:rRNA from 2 species
UACGGAGGGUGCAAGCGUUAUCCGGAUUCACUGGGUUUAAAGGGUGCGUAGGUGGGUUGGUAAGUCAGUGGUGAAAUCUCCGAGCUUAACUUGGAAACUGCCAUUGAUACUAUCAGUCUUGAAUAUUGUGGAGGUCAGCGGAAUAUGUCAUGUAGCGGUGAAAUGCUUAGAUAUGACAUAGAACACCAAUUGCGAAGGCAGCUGGCUACGCAUAUAUUGACACUGAGGCACGAAAGCGUGGGGAUCAAACAGG